rnacentral:rRNA from 1 species
UUGAAGAGUUUGAUCAUGGCUCAGAUUGAACGCUGGCGGCAGGCCUAACACAUGCAAGUCGAACGGUAACAGGAAGCAGCUUGCUGCUUUGCUGACGAGUGGCGGACGGGUGAGUAAUGUCUGGGAAACUGCCUGAUGGAGGGGGAUAACUACUGGAAACGGUAGCUAAUACCGCAUAAUGUCGCAAGACCAAAGAGGGGGACCUUCGGGCCUCUUGCCAUCGGAUGUGCCCAGAUGGGAUUAGCUAGUAGGUGGGGUAACGGCUCACCUAGGCGACGAUCCCUAGCUGGUCUGAGAGGAUGACCAGCCACACUGGAACUGAGACACGGUCCAGACUCCUACGGGAGGCAGCAGUGGGGAAUAUUGCACAAUGGGCGCAAGCCUGAUGCAGCCAUGCCGCGUGUAUGAAGAAGGCCUUCGGGUUGUAAAGUACUUUCAGCGGGGAGGAAGGCGAUAAGGUUAAUAACCUUGUCGAUUGACGUUACCCGCAGAAGAAGCACCGGCUAACUCCGUGCCAGCAGCCGCGGUAAUACGGAGGGUGCAAGCGUUAAUCGGAAUUACUGGGCGUAAAGCGCACGCAGGCGGUCUGUCAAGUCGGAUGUGAAAUCCCCGGGCUCAACCUGGGAACUGCAUUCGAAACUGGCAGGCUAGAGUCUUGUAGAGGGGGGUAGAAUUCCAGGUGUAGCGGUGAAAUGCGUAGAGAUCUGGAGGAAUACCGGUGGCGAAGGCGGCCCCCUGGACAAAGACUGACGCUCAGGUGCGAAAGCGUGGGGAGCAAACAGGAUUAGAUACCCUGGUAGUCCACGCCGUAAACGAUGUCGACUUGGAGGUUGUGCCCUUGAGGCGUGGCUUCCGGAGCUAACGCGUUAAGUCGACCGCCUGGGGAGUACGGCCGCAAGGUUAAAACUCAAAUGAAUUGACGGGGGCCCGCACAAGCGGUGGAGCAUGUGGUUUAAUUCGAUGCAACGCGAAGAACCUUACCUACUCUUGACAUCCAGAGAACUUUCCAGAGAUGGAUUGGUGCCUUCGGGAACUCUGAGACAGGUGCUGCAUGGCUGUCGUCAGCUCGUGUUGUGAAAUGUUGGGUUAAGUCCCGCAACGAGCGCAACCCUUAUCCUUUGUUGCCAGCGGUUAGGCCGGGAACUCAAAGGAGACUGCCAGUGAUAAACUGGAGGAAGGUGGGGAUGACGUCAAGUCAUCAUGGCCCUUACGAGUAGGGCUACACACGUGCUACAAUGGCGCAUACAAAGAGAAGCGACCUCGCGAGAGCAAGCGGACCUCAUAAAGUGCGUCGUAGUCCGGAUUGGAGUCUGCAACUCGACUCCAUGAAGUCGGAAUCGCUAGUAAUCGUGGAUCAGAAUGCCACGGUGAAUACGUUCCCGGGCCUUGUACACACCGCCCGUCACACCAUGGGAGUGGGUUGCAAAAGAAGUAGGUAGCUUAACCUUCGGGAGGGCGCUUACCACUUUGUGAUUCAUGACUGGGGUGAAGUCGUAACAAGGUAACCGUAGGGGAACCUGCGGUUGGAUCACCUCCUU